rnacentral:misc_RNA from 1 species
GAUGAAGAACGCAGUGAAAUGCGAUAAGUAAUGUGAAUUGCAGAAUUCAGUGAAUCAUCGAAUCUUUGAACGCACCUUGCGCCCCUUGGUUAUUCCAAAGGGCAUGCCUGUUUGAGUAUCAUGAACACCUCAACUCUUGUGGUUUCCCACAAUGAGCUUGGACUGUGGAGGUUUUGUUGGCCCUGUGGUCAGCUCCUCUCAAAUGGAUCAGCUUACCGGUGUUUGGUGGCAUUACGGGUGUGAUAACUAUCUACGCUCGUGAUCGUCUCCAAAUAACCUCCAGUGAUGGAGGUUCGCUGGAGCUUAUAAAUGUCUCUCCCCAGUGAAGACAGCCUUUGAACGUUCGAUCUCAAAUCAGGUAGGACUACCCGCUGAACUUAAGCAUACAAUAAGCGGAGGA